UACAUGCAAGUCGAACGCGCAGCGAAAGGUGCUUGCAUCUUUCAAGCGAGUGGCGAACGGGUGAGUAACACGUGGAUAACCUGCCUCAAGGCUGGGGAUAACAUUUGGAAACAGAUGCUAAUACCGAAUAAAACUUAGUAUCGCAUGAUACAAAGUUGAAAGGCGCUACGGCGUCACCUAGAGAUGGGUCCGCGGUGCAUUAGUUAGUUGGUGGGGUAAAGGCCUACCAAGACAAUGAUGCAUAGCCGAGUUGAGAGACUGAUCGGCCACAUUGGGACUGAGACACGGCCCAAACUCCUACGGGAGGCUGCAGUAGGGAAUCUUCCACAAUGGGCGAAAGCCUGAUGGAGCAACGCCGCGUGUGUGAUGAAGGCUUUAGGGUCGUAAAGCACUGUUGUAUGGGAAGAAAUGCUAGAAUAGGGAAUGAUUCUAGUUCGACGGUACCAUACCAGAAAGGGACGGCUAAAUAC
rnacentral:rRNA from 1 species